CUGGACUGUGUUUCCGCAUGUUGACAGUCUAUAGGUAUUGAAAUGCUCACCUAUACUUUGGAGUGAGGGGGUGGGGGGACACCACAUUUUAUAAAAAUUGAAUAAAUGAUCGUUCGAAGCAAAAGCAUGCAGUUCAAAAGCUAAACCUCCCAUUGGAGAGCAGAAAAUUUAAUGAGCUUUUAAUGGAACGCAAGGCGCAGAGUAGUAAAUUAUUUGUUAGUUGACGAUGCAAUCAGCAUGCUGAUUAAGGUUGCUUGGUUUUUUACUAAACAUUAACUGAAUGAAAACGGGUCGUCCUUGUUCUGCUUGGGGGGCUUUAAGGAAGCAAAUGGACUUUCAGAACAGAGAUUGUCAAUAAAGGUCUCAGGAAGUUACUCGUGAAGGAAGAAGAGGAGGCAGCCCUUACUGAACGCCUGUCUGGAGCUCUGGGUGUGUCCUCUGAGAAGUUGCCCAUGAGACCAAAUGCCCCGGAGGGUAACACGGAUCCUGAGUGAAGAUUGUCGCAACUGAGUAUGGAUGUGCUGAUCUCCAGGCUCCUGGAUGUGGAGCCGUUCAUCUCUCCUCGAGAGCUGGAUGGAGGCCCAGGCUGCCUUGCAGCAUUGAGUGAUGCCAUGCCAAUUCCAGGCAAGGUCUUUAUUGCUGGAACCACUGUGUAAUGACAGCUUUAUUCAUGUGAAAACGCAGAAUGCAUUUCGACUGUAUGAAAUUGUUUAUGUUCAUCAGAAAUGUUAUUUGUCUUCACAAAGUCUGGUUUCAAUGAACCAGCUACGUAAUGGAUAUUAAAUAAACAUGGAAUUUUACAUGUUUAUAAUAUUUGGUUUCUUGUUGUGAUUUUGAUGAACA